CCUACGGGUGGCUGCAGUCGAGAAUCUUCGGCAAUGAGCGCAAGCUUGACCGAGCGACGCCGCGUGUGGGAUGAAGGCCCUCGGGUUGUAAACCACUGUCGUAGGGGAGGAAGGCUCCGUGAAGAGCGGAGUUUGACCUAUCCUAGGAGGAAGUACGGGCUAAGUUCGUGCCAGCAGCCGCGGUAAGACGAACCGUACGAACGUUAUUCGGGAUUACUGGGCUUAGAGGGUUUGUAUGCGAGUUUGUAGUGAAAUCCCUCGGCUCAACCGAGGAAUAGCGCUUGAUACUGCGAGGCUUGAGGGAGACAGGGGUAAGCGGAACUGAUGGUGGAGCGGUGAAAUGCGUUGAUAUCAUCAGGAACACCGGUGGCGAAAGCGGCUUACUGGGUCUCUUCUGACGCUGAGGAACGAAAGCUAGGGGAGCGAACGGGAUUAGAUACCCCAGUAGUC
rnacentral:rRNA from 1 species